UAAGUGACAUUUGGUGUUUACGGUUUGUCGAGUGAGAUUUCAAUCAGGAAUGCCGUCGCCGACAAAUUUUGUGUGAGACAGUGUCAUUAUCGUGGUGCCGAUGGUUAUCGACGAUCGACAGCGACCAUUCGAGCGUGGCGCGAUGCGUUGCCUGACGCCGGCGAUCUCAGCCGGUUUCGGCGAGCACAUUGAGGAAUACGAAGUGUUGAAUUUAUUGGGUAAAGGCGGCUACGGAAGCGUCUACCGUGCGAGAUGUCUCCGCAGCGGCACAGAAGUUGCGAUCAAAAUGAUCGACAAGAAAAUGAUGCAGGUUGCUGGGAUGAUGGAUAGAGUUAGACAAGAAGUAGAGAUACAUAUAAAAUUGAAACAUCCAGCUAUCUUGGAGGCAUACACGUGUUUUGAAAAUGCAAAUUACGUGUAUCUCGUUUUAGAAUUAUGUCAUAAUGGAGAACUUCAACGUUAUCUCAAAGCACAAGGCACUAAAACUUUAUCCGAAGAACAUGCUGCUUACAUAAUCAAACAAGUAGUACAGGGUUUGCUUUAUCUCCAUUCCCAUCAAAUACUUCAUAGAGAUUUGUCAUUGUCCAAUUUACUUUUGACUAAAGAUAUGCAAGUGAAAAUAGCGGAUUUUGGAUUGGCCACACAGAUGAGUAAACCAGAUGAAAAGCAUUUGACUAUGUGUGGCACACCGAACUAUAUCUCGCCCGAAGUUGCUACGAGAUCUUCACAUGGGCCGGAAGCAGAUGUAUGGAGCUUGGGAUGUAUGUUGUAUACUUUGUUGGUAGGCAAGCCACCGUUCGAGACAGACGCAAUUAAGAGUACUCUGACCCGAGUAGUUAUGGCUGAUUAUGUAAUGCCACUUCAUCUGUCAGAAAACGCAAGGGAUUUGAUAGAUAAAUUAUUGAAGAAAAAUCCGAAAGACAGGAUAUGCUUGCGGGAUAUUCAUAAGCAUGCCUUUAUAACGAGUAUAGAAAAGAGUAAGCUACAUAAUGAAAGAAACAAUGCGAGCAAAAAUCCAUUUACUAAUAUGGUGGAUUCCGGACUUGGUAGGACACUUUCAUCAUAUGGUCGACCGAAAAUGCGAUCCCUAUCGGAGGAAAGAAUGUCUACCUUACCAAUGAUGCCUAUGGUUAGUGUACGAAGCGAGCCGUUAUCCGAGCCUAUUGCGAAAAUGCAAUCAAAUCCUAAUCAUGGAAUGAGAUACGCUAAUUAUCGCCCGAAAGAUGAUUCUUUGAUUCAGAUACUACGUGGUAGAGGAUUUUCGCAAAACGGACAGUACGAUAAUUACAAUGCUUAUAAUGAAUCCGAGAAACCAAGGUUGGUGGAGAGACAUAAGCAAAGGAAAGAAAACAACGUGGAAAACCGUAGUACGGAAGGAACUGAAAAGAGCACAAAGUUACAAGUGCCGUCCUUAAAUUCUAAUAGGCUAGAGCCUAAAAGACACAAAACGAAAAAUGCGAUACUUACCAUUCUGGAUAACGGAGAAGUGUGCAUCGAAUUUAUCAAGCGCAGAAAUGGCACGGAAAGGAUAAACGAAGUAUGUAGAAUAUCAGGUGACGGUCUGCGAAUCGUUCUUUACAAAUUAAACCCAACUGUGGAGAUUGGCUCACAACCACCACCAUUGCCUAAUCGGGGCGCCGAUAGUAUUUAUUCGUAUGAAAAUUUACCAGCGUGUCAUCAUCGAAAAUAUAUGUAUGCCUUUCGUUUCGUGAAACUGGUUCAGGCAAAAACUCCGAAAUUAACACUGUACACUCAACGCUCGAAGUGCCUGUUCAUGGAAAAUGGUCCACAACCCGACUGUGAAGUGCAUUUUUAUAACGGCAUAAAGGUUGUCCGGAUAGACGAUGUGGUGAAGAUCACCAAUAACGAUGGUGUUACGUUUGUCGAGGGUGCGUUCCCGUCGCAUCUCAAGACUUAUUACGAGCAUUAUUCGGAAUGUUAUCAGCGUUGUUUGCUAUUGGAAUCUAAUCUAGCAUCUCUGGAGGCAGCCACUGGACAUUCCUGCUUUCCUGUGAUAAUCGGACGACGGCCCAAUACAGCCUUGAGUGAUUCUCCCUACCUUCAGGGAAAAGAAAACAUCUCACACACUACACAAUCUCCUGUUAUGCCGUCGUUCGACGCUAGUUGUUCCGUCAUGUCAACAGGGACUUCUAGGUCACGCAAUAUGAACUCUAUGCGUAACUCUAAUCAUAAUACGAAGAUAGCUGUGCCAGGAAUUAGCUUUGCUACUAAAUUGUCAUCUGGAAAUAUUAGGAUCGAUUAUCAGGAUGGAUCCGCCUUAACCAUAAAUCCGCAAAGUCACAACAGCGACAUAAUAUAUCAAACUAGUGACGGCACAAUUACACGAUAUAACAGGCAUCAUCAGCAAAACUUGGAGAUACCGGUCAAAAAGAAGCUUCAACAAUUGCCAACGAUUAUCAAGUAUUUCAUAGAGCCGAUGUAUAAAGGCAUUCGGUAGCUCUGCUUGAAAAAAAUAUUGUGUAUAGUACGAGAAAUUAUCUUUGCCUAUAGAUUAUCGAAGGCAAGAGAAUAAUUUUUAUAAGAGUGGAAUAAAAUUGAGAAUUUUUCCACUAUUUGCAUUAUGUAAAAGAGCAUUCUGCGAAAUCCGGUAUCUCC